CGAGAUUUUUUCGACCAACACCCAAAUCAAAGAAAAUACAUUUGUUGGUUCUGGUAAAUCGUCCAACUUGAGAUAGAGGGCAGAAGAUAUUUCGUUCGUUGAAGCUUCGCAGCGAGAACAAUUUUGUCGAGGGUGACAACGCAGGAAAAAGGGUAAACAAAUCGAGAGCAUCACUACGGAAGAGGUGGGUCUUUCACUCUUUAAUUGUUAUUCAUAUCCACUCAAGUUUGACCUUAAUACCAUCAAGUUGUAUAAUAUAUAUUGGUACUAAAAGAAUGAGUGAAGGGACGGGAAGUUUGACCUUAAUACCAUCACUCAGGAAUGAAGAAACAUGAUAAUAAAAAAUGAGGCGGUAAUCUCAGAUGAAUGAGUGAAGGGACGGGAAGUGAAAAAAUUCCUAGUUUUUUUUCCUUUUCAGAAAAUUUAAAACUCUUAUCAGUGAGAUACCAGUGAGGGUAUAUAUCAUAUUGGUCAGCCAAAUAUGGUAAAACUUUUUUUUUGUUAUCGUAAUAGAAUUUUACAGAUUAUCAUUUCAAGUUUAAUGAAAAUGUCAUUGUCUAUAUAUUUUUGUUAUAU
rnacentral:lncRNA from 1 species